rnacentral:rRNA from 1 species
UUGAACGCUGGCGGCAUGCCUUACACAUGCAAGUCGAACGGUAACAGGUCUUCGGAUGCUGACGAGUGGCGAACGGGUGAGUAAUACAUCGGAACGUGCCCGAUCGUGGGGGAUAACGCAGCGAAAGCUGUGCUAAUACCGCAUACGCCCUAUGGGGGAAAGCGGGGGAUUCGCAAGAACCUCGCGUUAUUGGAGUGGCCUAGGCCUGAUUAGCUAGUUGGUGAGGUAAAGGCUCACCAAGGCGACGAUCAGUAGCUGGUCUGAGAGGAUGAUCAGCCACACUGGAACUGAGACACGGUCCAGACUCCUACGGGAGGCAGCAGUGGGGAAUUUUGGACAAUGGGGGAAACCCUGAUCCAGCCAUUCCGCGUGAGUGAAGAAGGCCUUCGGGUUGUAAAGCUCUUUCAGGAGGGAAGAAACGGUUGCGGCUAAUACCCGCGACUAAUGACGGUACCUUCAGAAGAAGCACCGGCUAACUACGU